UUGGUUCUGGGGAGUGGAUUUGGUUCUGCAUGACGACGAUGUGGAUGAGCUGUGUUUGUCCCGUCUCAUCUCUGUCCGCGUUCGCAAAGCGCAUCCACGUCGUCGUUUGUAAAUUCAAAAAUUGCAUGGUUUGAUACGGUCAUUGUUCGUACACUGUCUACAGCGCAACAGGGUAGCGCCUCUCCUGUCUUUUUGCAAUCGCUGUCACGUGUUCAUUGUUGAAAAUCAAGACAGAACAGUGGGCGAAGCGGCGGCGUCUAGCCUGGCCGAGAUCCAGUAUGGACUGGACGAUGAGUUGCGACCGCACUUCUUGAGCGCGGCACGCCGAAGUCAUGGGCAGGUCGGCGCAAACGGCCUUUCUAAGGGCCCUGCAAGACUGAUGACUGCAAACCUAAGUGGAUAGAGCAACAGCAGCUGGUUUUGCCAAGAGGAUAGAUGGAGCCACUACCUGACCAGUGCGUGCUACCUCAAGGGACUCCCAAGGUGCCACACCUCGUGCACAUGGGCACAACUUCUGCAAAGGUUCUGAAGACUGGGAACACAUCCCCAACUACAGCUUUUCCAGUAAAACAAAAGACACUUGUAAUGGAGAAGUUUUCCUCAUGCAGUUUUCCAGCUCCCAAGGCCUGCAGGCAUCAUUGUUUUAACUGAAUGAAAUUUGAAGCACAAGUGUAAAUAAAUGGCCAACAUAUAUCUUCCAUGUC
rnacentral:lncRNA from 1 species